GCUCAGUUGGUAAAGCACAAGACUCUUAACCUUGUGGACGUGGAUUCAAGUCCCAU
rfam:Triticum aestivum genome assembly, contig: Triticum_aestivum_CS42_TGACv1_scaffold_201654_3AL